GAUGAACGCUGGCGGCGUGCCUAAUACAUGCAAGUCGAGCGAACAGAUGAGAAGCUUGCUUCUCUGAUGUUAGCGGCGGACGGGUGAGUAACACGUGGGUAACCUACCUAUAAGACUGGGAUAACUCCGGGAAACCGGGGCUAAUACCGGAUAAUAUUUUGAACCGCAUGGUUCAAUAGUGAAAGACGGUUUCGGCUGUCACUUAUAGAUGGACCCGCGCCGUAUUAGCUAGUUGGUAAGGUAACGGCUUACCAAGGCGACGAUACGUAGCCGACCUGAGAGGGUGAUCGGCCACACUGGAACUGAGACACGGUCCAGACUCCUACGGGAGGCAGCAGUAGGGAGUCUUCCGCAAUGGGCGAAAGCCUGACGGAGCAACGCCGCGUGAGUGAAGAAGGUCUUCGGAUUGUAAAGCUCUGUUUAAAGGGACGAAUGGCAGAUUUGUGAAUAAUGAAUUUGCAUGACGGUACCUUUGGAGGAAGCCACGGCUAACUACGUGCCAGCAGCCGCAGUAA
rnacentral:rRNA from 1 species